GGGGCUUAAAUAACUCGCUUAACACAAAACAUGGAGUUAACUAAGGCUUCCAUUUAACCAGGCUAUCAAACACAAAGCCCUCAUUCUUACAAUACUCUUCUAAUGAUAGUUCCAUCUUUAUGAACAUUCCAGAUCUCUACAUACAGUGUGAAAAAAAUAAGAGAAGAAAUGGAAGCCUAGAGGCAAGGAGAUGACAGAAGAAACUGUAGUGUUAAUCCAGAUAAGACAUUGAAGAGCUAAACUGGGAGUUUGGUAAGACAGAUAGAGAGAUGUGGAUGGAUCUGAAUGCUACCAAGAAGGUCAAAUUCAACGGUGCUUACAGGCAUACCUUGGAAACAUUGCAGAUUUAGUUCUAGAACACUACAGUAAAGCAAAUAUUGCAAGAAAAUGAAUCACAUGAAUUUUGGGUUUCCCAG
rnacentral:lncRNA from 1 species